ACCAUCCUUUUCUUGGGGUUGAGCUACUGUCUAAUGAGCGUUUAGUGAGGGCAGUACUGCUAACGCCUACACAGGACACCUAUGUCAACUAGAGCUUUGCUUUAUCUUGGUGCAAUUUUUGGAAAA
rnacentral:ncRNA from 1 species